CACGUAGGGUGCGAGCGUUGUCCGGAAUUAUUGGGCGUAAAGAGCUCGUAGGCGGUUUGUCGCGUCUGCUGUGAAAUCCCGAGGCUCAACCUCGGGCCUGCAGUGGGUACGGGCAGACUGGAGUGCGGUAGGGGAGAUUGGAAUUCCUGGUGUAGCGGUGGAAUGCGCAGAUAUCGGGAAGAACACCCGUGGCGAAGGCGGCUCUCUGGGACGGUACUGACGCUGAGACGCGAAAGCGUGGGGAGCGAACAGG
rnacentral:rRNA from 1 species